CGCCUCUUGCUAACAAAGGAAGUACUAGAGGUCCCGCCUGCCCUGUGACCACAAAGUUUAACGGCCGCGGUAUCCUGACCGUGCGAAGGUAGCGUAAUCAUUUGUCUUUUAAAUAGAGACCUGUAUGAAUGGCAUAACGAGGGUUUAACUGUCUCCUUCCCCUAGUCAAUGAAAUUGAUCUGCCCGUGCAGAAGCGGACAUAAACACAUAAGACGAGAAGACCCUAUGGAGCUUUAGACAAAAGAUCAAACAUGUAAAGAAACCGAAACAACCAAAAGGAACACGAAGGCCACAAAACCCAACGUAAACUGAUCUAAAUGUCUUCGGUUGGGGCGACCAUGGGGGAAAGAAAAGCCCCCACGAGGAACAGGGACAACCCUAAACUAAGAGAGACACCUCUAAG
rnacentral:rRNA from 1 species